rnacentral:misc_RNA from 1 species
UUUCCGUAGGUGAACCUGCGGAAGGAUCAUUACCGAGUGAGGGCCCUCUGGGUCCAACCUCCCACCCGUGUUUAUCGUACCUUGUUGCUUCGGCGGGCCCGCCUCACGGCCGCCGGGGGGCUUCUGCCCUCUGGUCCGCGCCCGCCGAAGACACCAUUGAACGCUGUCUGAAGAUUGCAGUCUGAGCAAUUAGCUAAAUAAGUUAAAACUUUCAACAACGGAUCUCUUGGUUCCG